rnacentral:pre_miRNA from 1 species
CUGCUAUGCUGUGUUCUUCUUAUCUUUGAAAGUGCUAGCAAUUUUUAUAGCGAUUUUGUGCUAGCAAUUUUUAUAGCGAUUUUGUAGAAGUUGCUCGCACUUAUAAAUAAAAGACGAAGCUCAAGCAAAUCGCUGUAUAAAUAGCGAGCACUUCAAAGAGAAGAAGAGCAGAACGUGGCAG